AUACGGAGGACGCGAGCGUUAUCCGGAUUCAUUGGGUUUAAAGGGUGCGCAGGCGGCCGUGCAAGUCAGCGGUGAAAGCCCGGGGCUCAACCCCGGAAGUGCCGUUGAUACUGCAUGGCUGGAAUGCGGUCGAGGCGGGCGGAACGUGGGGGGUAGGGGGGAAAUGCGUAGAUAUGCCACAGAACGCCGAUAGCGGAGGCAGCUCGCCAGGCCUGCAUUGACGCUGGGGCACGAAAGCGUGGGGAGCGAACAGGAUUAGAUACCCUGGUAGUCCACGCCGUAAACGAUGGGCGCUCGUCGUCGGCGACAGACAGUCGGCGGCCAAGCGAAAGCGAUAAGCGCCCCACCUGGGGAGUACGGUCGCAAGGCUGAAACUCAAAUGAAUUGGCGGGG
rnacentral:rRNA from 1 species